rnacentral:rRNA from 1 species
UACGUAGGUGGCAAGCGUUGUUCGGGAAUUAUUGGGCGUAAAGGGCUCGUAGGCGGUUUGUCGCGUCGGGAGUGAAAACCUCGGGCUUAACUCGGGGCUUGCUUUCGAUACGGGCAGACUGGAGGUAUGCAGGGGAGAACGGAAUUCCUGGUGUAGCGGUGAAAUGCGCAGAUAUCAGGAGGAACACCGGUGGCGAAGGCGGUUCUCUGGGCAUGACCUGACGCUGAGGAGCGAAAGUGUGGGGAGCGAACAGG